rnacentral:misc_RNA from 1 species
UUGUAGCACUUUAAUUCAUUUGUGAAGACGACACAAGUUUGUUGGGUAUCGUCCAACAUGAGAUGUUGAUAGAUUAAUAGAUUAAACAAUGGAGAA